UACGUAGGGCGCAAGCGUUGUCCGGAAUUAUUGGGCGUAAAGAGCUCGUAGGCGGUCUGUCACGUCUGCUGUGAAAACCCGGGGCUUAACCCCGGGCUUGCAGUGGAUACGGGCAGACUAGAGGCAGGUAGGGGAGAAUGGAAUUCCCGGUGUAGCGGUGAAAUGCGCAGAUAUCGGGAGGAACACCGGUGGCGAAGGCGGUUCUCUGGGCCUGACCUGACGCUGAGGAGCGAAAGCGUGGGGAACGAACAGG
rnacentral:rRNA from 1 species